CGGGGAGUGGCGCAGCUUGGUUAGCGUGCCUGCUUUGGGAGCAGGAGGUCGCGGGUUCGAAUCCCGCCUCCCCGA
rnacentral:tRNA from 1 species